UGAGUCAGAGAGUUAGAGCAAAAACUUCCGAAAUAUGGGAAUAUUUCAGGCGAAAUGGUAAAAGAGUUGUCUGUACACUCUGUCAAACUUCACUUGGAAACACACAGGAGUUGUUCAAGACGUUUGGAGCGGUUUUUUUCUCUCCUCCAUGUCUCCUCCGGGGCUCCAAAGAUGCGCUCACAGAAAAGAAGAAGUCAACAAAGCAGUCCGCCGUCUUCACAACUCUGAGACAAACUGUAGCAGGUGCUACGAACCGGAGCAAGGACUAACCUCACCUCAUAAUGAGGCCGUGACCUAUAUUUGCUCGGAGCUGUCUGCAAGUCCAGAUUUAAUAUGACGCUGAUAAUGACGCCAUUGUGUCUGCCUGUAAGACAUGACGAGACAGCACGCAGGAGCGGG